GAUGAACGCUGGCGGCGUGCCUAAUACAUGCAAGUCGAGCGAACAGACGAGGAGCUUGCUCCUCUGACGUUAGCGUCGGACGGGUGAGUAACACGUGGAUAACCUACCUAUAAGACUGGGAUAACUUCGGGAAACCGGAGCUAAUACCGGAUAAUAUAUUGAACCGCAUGGUUCAAUAGUGAAAGACGGUUUUGCUGUCACUUAUAGAUGGAUCCGCGCCGCAUUAGCUAGUUGGUAAGGUAACGGCUUACCAAGGCAACGAUGCGUAGCCGACCUGAGAGGGUGAUCGGCCACACUGGAACUGAGACACGGUCCAGACUCCUACGGGAGGCAGCAGUAGGGAAUCUUCCGCAAUGGGCGAAAGCCUGACGGAGCAACGCCGCGUGAGUGAUGAAGGUCUUCGGAUCGUAAAACUCUGUUAUUAGGGAAGAACAAAUGUGUAAGUAACUAUGCACGUCUUGACGGUACCUAAUCAGAAAGCCACGGCUAACUACGUG
rnacentral:rRNA from 1 species